rnacentral:lncRNA from 1 species
AUCACACAAGCAGAUGUUCAAGGCUACUGUUGGUGGUGCUGAAAUGUAGCAAUCUCUUGACAGUUUAGUGAGCUCAUGACCAGAGGAUCUGUCUUAUGCAAAGGUCAGAGAAGGCUUCCCUGAUAAAGGAAGGUCAUCCAAGAUGUGCAAAGAGUAGCAAAAAAUUUCGGUCGCCAGGCAUAAACAUUUCCCACAGAGACUGAACUGGGGCAGUCUGUCUUCUUGUUUCAGCACUCAUAAGGUGUUACACCACAGUGAACUUUUAGUGCUGGCUUCCGUCUCAGCAUCUGCUUCCCAGAGAAAUCAAUGAGAAUGAUCUCUUAUCCUAUCAAGGAUCAUUUUACCUCCUUCUCACCAAAUGUUACACAUCAGUGAGCAGCACUGCCUAGGAGAUAACAGGAAGCCGGGUUUCACAGCAGCCAUCCUAACCAACUAAUUCUGUGAUGAUUGAGAGACUGUGAGUGACCCGAUUGGCCAGACCCUUACUGAACCCAACUGACAACUGUGUCCUGAUUAAAGGGGAAUGAAAUUUGUUUUCACAAUCCCAUAUAGACCUAUAAACUUGUCCUGACCUGUCAAGAGUGCCAGUUUUCAAACUGCCAUUAGCAAACCACUGUGAAACCACCCACAAAAGCCUUACAUUUUAGGCUUUUCAUUUUAUGUUUACUAUGAAACAUUAAAGAAUGCAUGAAUAUAGAAAUGGAAAUUGGUCCCUUUUCACCGAUCACAAACUUUGUACCUCAAUUCUUAAAGUCAGGGAUGUUUAACUCAGCCAGCCACCUAGCUAGGGUCUGUAACAAACAGUUGGUUAUUUUUCACCCUUUGUCUACUCAAAAUUAAGAAAGUAAAGACGAUAAAAACAAUAUUCUACAGAAAAAAAAGACAAAUGUUAAAAAAGUAAUAAAAGAGAACUUUCUUUCAUAUUCAUGUGAGAAGGAUAGAUGUUUAGAAAUAAAGAAUAAAAUUUGUGUGAGGGAUGCCUCUUGCAUUUUAAGAAUUAGAAGAGGUGAUUGGUAAAACUGUAGACAUGGACGAGCUGGUUUUCCAAGGCACGGGAUCAGCUACAAGUACAUAGAAAAGGUCCCUCAUAUAAAAACAAUUAUGUCAAGGUGAAUUUGUGUGUAUUAUAUAUGUACUAAAUGAUGUGUACAUGCAACUGGUUGUUACAGGAAAAAGGAAAAACAGAAAAAAACUGAAAAAAUUACAUGAAAAAAAUGUAUCAAGAACCCACAGUAGUUGUAAAUAGCAUGAUACUGUUAUUGAGUACCUGAAAUCAAUUGCAGAUUGACAUGAGGAGGAGCUCAAUGUAACUUCUCCCAGAGAUGAUCACAGAACUUAAAGAGGCUGAAUUCAUAGAACAGCUUCUGUGUAGAAGUCACUCUAUAGUUCCUCCCAGAGGAGGGGACUGACUUUUCAAUUUGUCCAUUGGGCCAUGCUCGGACCACAGUACUUGAAACAGAACCUUAGGAAAAUGCAUCAUAUUUUAAUUCUGAACCAAGAGUUGGCUCAUUUUUAAAGAUACCAUGCUUAGUUUUCAUUUAUUCAGAUUUAGGUAAAGGGUUCAAUAUUCAGGUCAGGAUUUGAAAUGGGCAUCAGGAAGGUGCCCUUAGGUGAGGAAGAUUUGUGAUGUGGGCAACUUCUUGCUAAUAAAAGCCUUCAGUUCAACCUGUACUGGUUCAAGAACUUCUGAAGUUUUACAGAGGCUUGCCUGGAAUCUGGGAUGAGGGCCUGGGGUUGAGGUCAGGCAGCUUCGUGAACGGAGAAGUGUUGUGCUAAUGGGGUUGCUUGAGGGAGGACAAUGAUAUCCACCUUUUUUCAAUAUUUUGCCUAAGGCCACCCUGGCCCUGCCAUUCAAAAUCACCUUUUCUGUCAUUUUGGCGUUUGUGGUACAUUGCAGAACCCUGACUUAGGCCAGGAGGCCAUUUAGGAAAUUAUUCCUGACAUUUUGUUUUAAAUUAAUAAAAUACAUAAAAUAGGGUUCCUUGUAAUAGAUCUCACACAUCAAGCAUAAGUAGAUCGCAUUAUUUAUUUUUAAAUGACAUAUGCUGUAGCUCAGUUUUGUAGAAUUCAAGAAUAUACUUCAUCUUUUGUGUAGGUAAUUUCAUUCAAUUUCCCAGUCCCCUCUUUCAUUUUGGAGAAAUAAAAUUUGUGUUUUAUGUCUAUAUACACUCUCCAAUGGGGCAAUUCAAAAAUAAAAGUGCAUCCUUAACACUGCAUUUCUUUGCUUUUGGCCUGCACUAGAACUUUUCCCUCAUUUCAAUGUAGCUUUUGUAUGGGUGAAUGCAAUAAAAAAGGUAAUAAACUUAAUAAAUGGUUCAAUUGCAUGAGUGCACCUGUGUGUUACCUUCAUCCUCAUUAUCCAUUUCCUCAGACAUUGUCCAUUACCUCGUGUUGGUCACAGAACCCUAUUGUAAGUCUAAUACAUAGUGCAAUAAAAAUAAAUAAUCUGAGAAAAUAUUACAGUGCAAACUGAAAAUAGUUUUGUUGUAAAUUUAUGCACAUUUUUAUCCACUCUGCUAAGUACAAGGAUGCUGUCAGUGUACUGUUCUCUUUAUAUCUCCCAUAGGAGUGAGACCCAAAUCCUUAUUUCUUAUGAGCUUCAUUCAAAUAUAUAUUACAGGGGCUCCAUGCCCGUGGUUGUUUUCUCAGUAGAAUUCCUGAAAACUGAUUCAGACAAUAGUGUGUGCGUGUGUGCGCAGGUAUGUAAAAAUGUGAUGUCCGAGAUGACCCUCUAAAUCCAUGCCUACGUACUCACAGAAAAAUAGAAAAUAGUAGGUAUUUUAUUCAAGCAAUUCAGGCACUAAAUGCAUAUUUGCCCUGAUAUCUGUAGAUACGAAAAAAACUGUAUUCUGCUUGAAACUUUUGAAUAAUAGAUAUAUUUUCAAACUGAGCUGACUGUGUGAACUUCAAAUUUUUGUGGGUUUAUAAAGGGCAGAGUUUCCUAGGAUGUUUACUGCUAAAUUGCAUAUCACGUAUUGGCAUGAUAUGAAGAACGGACUCACCUCUCAUGCCUUGCUAGUUUAAAAUACUUUACAUGCUUUUAGCCAAAGAUAAUUUUAAAACCAAAUAUGCCCUCUAAUUCGUAGAUGCAAAACUGUGUUUUCCAGCUCUCUUUUACACAGGGUCUGUUGGCAGCUGCGUGAUAGUAUACUCAUUAAUAUCUUUGACAGUUCAUAGUUGUCAAUCACACCAGAUUUUCACAAGCUGCUUACAUGGCCUGAGAAAUGCACAGAAAUGAAGAGGUGAUCCCAGACUGACAGAUCAUUUCAGGUGGCUUGAGUAGACUUUAAUUGACUCUUGGUUUGCUGUCUAUACUGCUCUCCAAGGAAUGCACGAAUUAAUGAAGCUACUUAAUAAAAAUCUUGGCUAGAUCUUAUCUGUUUCUGCCACUAACCAAUAGAGCAUAUUUACACUACACAUAUUUUACAUCCAGGCAUUCAGUUUUUGGAUUGCUUGUGUAGAGAACAUGAUUUACUCCCCCUUUACAAAAUUUUAGUUCUGUUAACUAUAAACAGGACAGUGGGUAGCCAGGACAAUGAAUAACCUCUGCAAACAACGAAAAUAUAAAGACAAUGUCCACAUGUAUAGGAAAUAGCACAUACAAAGUGAAAUUUAAAGUAGGAAAUAUGUAGACAAUUUCCCAGUAAGUUCAAGUAAUCUCUAUUCUGAUUUAGAGGUAAAAACUCAUUCUAACUUUUAGGGGGAAAAUGCUUCUCUCCAACCUUCUUUUGGGAUAUUUAAAACUAUUUUAUUGGCAAUAAAAACUGCCUCUUUUGUAGGAAAAUGCAUAAUAUUUUAAUUCGGAACCAAGAUUUGGGUCAUUUUUAGAGAUACCAUGGUAGGCAUACAAGUGCAGAGUCUAGUGUACUGGUCUCUGCACUGAGUACCAAGCACACAUUAGUCCUUGCUUAUCUGUCCAACCCUACAGAGUAAAGAUCAUUGCUCUCAUUUUUCAGAUGAGGACCUUUAUACUUAGACAAAUGAAAUGACUGGACCAAGUCCAUAAAUGUAGUGGUUGGUAGACAAAGGACACAAACCCAAGCUGUUUGGAUCUCAAACUCUUGAUCUUUGCCGGGGUAUCAUGGUGCCUCCUGAAGUCUUUUCAGUCAAGGUAAAAACCAUCGGUUUCAUUUCUUGAGGGAGUGCUCUUGCUUGAAGGGUUUACCGGCCACUGCUUUUUGCUCUGUGUGGCUGCUUUGUGCCUUUCAGGUUUGAUUUCCUAUAUUUUAGUUCCUCUUCGUUUCACCAAGUUAAAGUACAGCUCUAAUUACAAUGACUACAUUACUACAUCAAUUUCUAGAUGUAAAAGGCAUCCUUAUAAAUGUUCAUAAAUACUUCUGACUUUCAAAAUAAUGCAAAGCGAUGGAACAUAGUUAAUGCUUCAUUAGCUAAAUGCUAUGCAAAAUUUGUUAUUAGGCUGUCCUGAGAACAUUUUUUGGAGCAAAUUACCUAUCAGCAUUUUAUUUGAUAACUCUAAAAUGAAUUUUCUGCAGUAAGCUAUGAUGUUGCCAAAAUAUGUAGAAAAUUUGUGCUCAACAUUAUUAAAUAUUUGAAU